rnacentral:sRNA from 1 species
AUUUGGUGAAAGCAAGAUAUCUUUAAAAAUUCUCUAACCUUUCGUUCUUCCAUCUAAAGGUGAAGUUGAGGGAAGAAACCUAACUCCUUGAGUCAAUGCUGAUGAUGAAGAUCAGAAGCUUAACAUGUGAAAACAUGCAUGGCCUGAUGCUAUCAAAGAUGCUCUGAUGGCUUCCUUGUAUGAGAUUUACAAUAAAAUCUCCACAUGCUAGCUGUUAGAUCUCAAUCAAGUUACAGAUUGAAGAAAAACAAGAUAUUUUGAAUGCAAUUCGGGAUACAUGGAACCUCACAUGUCUCAAGUAUUUGUUGUGGAAGAUAAUGGAUAGGUCGAUUGAUUUGCCUCUAAUGUUAUCUAUGUACAAUGUUCCACAAUAUGUGUUUUGUCAUACAAGACUCUCAAAUGAUUAAUGAUGUCUUUUGUUGUACAUGACCCUCUUAAUGAUUAAAGAUGCUCUUUCAUUUAGUAUCGUUAGAGAAAGAUCAUUGCUGGCAAUGGUUUGCUUGUCAUUCAUUCCAACAUGAAAAUGCUCAAAUGCAAAGGACAUUUUGGAAGUCUUCUAUACACAAUUAUCAGUUUUAGAAUGAGAAAAUAUAUUGAAAAGUGAGAUGCAGGAUUUACUAGAAGAGAAUAUCAGCAUUAUCUCUGUCAGCUACCAACACUUUCGUUCUCAUCUUAAGAUUUUUGAGUGUUGUUCUUCCCUUUUCCGUAAAGAUUGUGUUUGAAGAAAGAGCAGUUAUGUCUGCCAUGAAUGGCUGAAAAUUUUCUGUAAUGCCAUGAAAAGAUUAAGAAUAUGAAAGAAGUUGGUGAAUAAUAUUUCAAUGAUGUGGUAUCCAGCUCUUUCUUUCAACAAUCAAGGGAACUCAAACACUAUGCUUAUUCCCGUACGAAGGGUUUUCAAAAAGGAUUAAGAGGAGUGAUAUGACAAUAAUGAG